rnacentral:rRNA from 1 species
UCCGAAUGGCUCAUUACAACAGCUAUAAUUUACUUGAUUUUGACCCUAUCCUACUUGGAUAGCUGUGGUAAUUCUAGAGCUAAUACAUGCAUUAAAGCUCUGACCUCACGGAAAGAGUGCAUUUAUUUGAACAAAACCAAGCGGCUUCGGCUGUUUCUGGUCGACUCAUAGUAACUGAGCUGAUCGCACGGUCUUGUACCGGCGACGUGUCUUUCAAGUAUCUGCCGUAUCAACUUUCGAUGGUAGUGUAUCUGACUACCAUGGUGAUCACGCGUAACGGAGAAUAAGGGUUCGACUCCGGAGAGUUCGCCUGAGAAAUCGCGAACACAUCUAAGGAAGGCAGCAGGCGCGAAAAUUACCCACUCUCAGCACGAGGAGGUAGUGACGAAAAAUAACGAGACCGAUCUCUUACGAGGCCGGUCAUCGGAAUGGGUACAAUUUAAACCCUUUAACGAGUAUCUAUGAGAGGGCAAGUCUGGUGCCAGCAGCCGCGGUAAUUCCAGCUCUCAAAGUGCAUAGAAGUAUUGCUGCGGUUAAAAAGCUCGUAGUUGGAUCUGUGCCAUAGGACGUGGUCCACCUUCGGGUGCGUACUUCGCUCCUAGGCUUUUUGCUGGUUUUCCCGUUGUAGCCUUCGCUGGUUGCGGCGGGUGGCUGGCGAGUUUACUUUGAGAAAAUCAGAGUGCUCAAUACAGGUGUCUAGCUUGAAUGAUUGUGCAUGGAAUAAUAGAAAAGGAUUUCGGUCCUCUUUUAUUGGUUUUGUGGACUGAGAUAAUGGUUAACAGGGACGAACGGGGGCAUUCGUAUCGCUGCGUGAGAGGUGAAAUUCUUGGAGCCGUAGCGAGACGCCCUACAUGCGAAAGCAUUUGCCAAGAAUGUCUCAUAAUCAAGAACGAAAAAAAAGGGGGG